GACGAACGCUGGCGGCGUGCUUAACACAUGCCAGUCGAACGGAAAGGCCCUGCUUUUGUGGGGUGCUCGAGUGGCGAACGGGUGAGUAACACGUGAGUAACCUGCCCUUGACUUUGGGAUAACUUCAGGAAACUGGGGCUAAUACCGGCUAGGAGCUCCCGCUGCAUGGUGGGGGCUGGAAAGUUUCGGCGGUUGGGGAUGGACUCGCGGCUUAUCAGCUUGUUGGGGGGGUAGUGGCUUACCAAGGCUUUGACGGGUAGCAGGCCUGGGAGGGUGACCGGCCCCAUUAGGACUGGGAUGCGGCCCAGACUCCUACGGGAGGCAACAGUGGAGAAUAGUGCAUAAUGGGAGGAAGCCUGGUGCAACCACGCCGCGUGGGGGAUGACGGGCUUCGGGUUGUAUACCACUUUCGCCUUUGACGAAGCGUGAAUGACAGUAAUGGGUAAAGAAGCACCGGCUAACUACGUG
rnacentral:rRNA from 1 species